GACAGGAAGAGAGACAGGAAGAAGGCAAGGAGAGAUGCCAGUUGCCACUGAAGGAACAACAUGCCAGCAGACCGGAAUCCUCCAUGGUUGCCACGGCAACCACGGCAUCCACAAAGGAAGCUGUGAACCAGUCAGUGGUCACUCCCCUUCUGCUGACAACUGAAAUUAUUUUCUGGACUCCUAACCUUGAAGGUAACUGGCACAGCCUGCUGGUUUCCCCCAUCCUGCCAAAUGUCUUCCGAAAUAACCAGCUAUCAGAGGGUGGCCAUGGGUAGAAGAGUGGUUUAGUCAGAAGAGACCUGUGUACUCUCCAGCUCAGAGCUCUUCCAUCUUAACUGCAUGGUGACUGAGGGACCUGGGGACUAAACUCAGACAGUCAGGCUUGACACCAAGUGCCUUUACCUGCUGAGUCAUCUCUUCAGCAACCCACCCCCAGGUUUCGCUUUCAAGGAUACACUCUAAAGCAUUGGGAGCAGGGCCGUUAACAGAUACUUGUUUACCAUGUUCAUCUGGCUAAAAGACUGAAGAGACGGCAACCAUCCAUCAAUAAAUGAAUAGAUGGUGAUAUGUA